AAAAAGGGUAUUCGCUACUUUAAUAGCGCGUCGAUACGGUCAAGUGCCGUGUUGGCGGGGUAUGGCAAUCAAGACAUACCCAAUACAUAAUUUUUGUAAACGCGAGGCUGUUGGCUGCCAAUUUCGCACCGGCGCCUCC